AUUGAACGCUGGCGGCAUGCCUUACACAUGCAAGUCGAACGGCAGCACGGGAGCAAUCCUGGUGGCGAGUGGCGAACGGGUGAGUAAUGUAUCGGAACGUGCCCAGCCGUGGGGGAUAACGUAGCGAAAGCUACGCUAAUACCGCAUACGAUCUAUGGAUGAAAGCGGGGGACCGUAAGGCCUCGCGCGAUUGGAGCGGCCGAUAUCAGAUUAGGUAGUUGGUGGGGUAAAGGCCUACCAAGCCGACGAUCUGUAGCUGGUCUGAGAGGACGACCCGCCACACUGGGACUGAGACACGGCCCAGACUCCUACGGGAGGCAGCAGUGGGGAAUUUUGGACAAUGGGCGCAAGCCUGAUCCGGCAAUGCCGCGUGCAGGAUGAAGGCCUUCGGGUUGUAAACUGCUUUUGUACGGAGCGAAAAGGCUCUCUCUAAUACAGGGGGCUCAUGACGGUACCGUAAGAAUAAGCACCGGCUAACUACGUGCCAGCAGCCGCCGUAAGAC
rnacentral:rRNA from 1 species